ACAUGCAAGUCGAACGCUUCUUUUUCCACCGGAGCUUGCUCCACCGGAAAAAGAGGAGUGGCGAACGGGUGAGUAACACGUGGGUAACCUGCCCAUCAGAAGGGGAUAACACUUGGAAACAGGUGCUAAUACCGUAUAACAAUCGAAACCGCAUGGUUUUGAUUUGAAAGGCGCUUUCGGGUGUCGCUGAUGGAUGGACCCGCGGUGCAUUAGCUAGUUGGUGAGGUAACGGCUCACCAAGGCGACGAUGCAUAGCCGACCUGAGAGGGUGAUCGGCCACAUUGGGACUGAGACACGGCCCAAACUCCUACGGGAGGCAGCAGUAGGGAAUCUUCGGCAAUGGACGAAAGUCUGACCGAGCAACGCCGCGUGAGUGAAGAAGGUUUUCGGAUCGUAAAACUCUGUUGUUAGAGAAGAACAAGGAUGAGAGUAACUGUUCAUCCCUUGACGGUAUCUAACCAGAAAGCCACGGCUAACUACGUGCCAGCAGCCGCGGUAAUACGUAGGUGGCAAGCGUUGUCCGGAUUUAUUGGGCGUAAAGCGAGCGCAGGCGGUUUCUUAAGUCUGAUGUGAAAGCCCCCGGCUCAACCGGGGAGGGUCAUUGGAAACUGGGAGACUUGAGUGCAGAAGAGGAGAGUGGAAUUCCAUGUGUAGCGGUGAAAUGCGUAGAUAUAUGGAGGAACACCAGUGGCGAAGGCGGCUCUCUGGUCUGUAACUGACGCUGAGGCUCGAAAGCGUGGGGAGCAAACAGGAUUAGAUACCCUGGUAGUCCACGCCGUAAACGAUGAGUGCUAAGUGUUGGAGGGUUUCCGCCCUUCAGUGCUGCAGCUAACGCAUUAAGCACUCCGCCUGGGGAGUACGACCGCAAGGUUGAAACUCAAAGGAAUUGACGGGGGCCCGCACAAGCGGUGGAGCAUGUGGUUUAAUUCGAAGCAACGCGAAGAACCUUACCAGGUCUUGACAUCCUUUGACCACUCUAGAGAUAGAGCUUCCCCUUCGGGGGCAAAGUGACAGGUGGUGCAUGGUUGUCGUCAGCUCGUGUCGUGAGAUGUUGGGUUAAGUCCCGCAACGAGCGCAACCCUUAUUGUUAGUUGCCAUCAUUUAGUUGGGCA
rnacentral:rRNA from 1 species